rnacentral:rRNA from 1 species
AUGUCUAACGUAAUGGACGCACCUCCGCCACCAACGUGCCAGCACACCUCCCAUCCGGCGCACAAGCUUACGCUUGUGCAGAUCGGCGGCGCACAAUUCAAGUGCGACGGCUGCGCGCAGGGCGGCCGGGAUCCGAGGUACCGGUGCGAGCUAUGCGACUUCGACCUCCACAUACAGUGCGCCCUAGCGCCACCCGUCUUCCCGCACCCUAUGUUGGCGGGCCGGACAUUCACCCUCUGCUCGGGUAUGGGCAAAAGGUUCUGCAACGCUUGUGGCGACGCCGUGCUCGGCAUGGUGUACCAUGACGGCCAGGCCGACCUCGACCUCCACCCGUGCUGCGCUUUCCUCAAGGACUGCAUCGUCUACCUUGGACGCGUCUUCCAACUCCGCCAGGAGGUGGCCGCUACCUGCAUGCUGUGUGGCCAAAACGGGCCGCGCGGAAAGUUCUGGUCCUACGCCUUGCAUGCCAAUGGUGGCGUUGAGAACAUUCACAUCGCCUGCAUGCUAUAUGCUGAUCACAACCAGACCGGUGCCGCUGAACACUCCCGUUCUACUUCUAGUCAUCAGAUGACAGGUAAUCCUAUUCCUACCUCUGGUCAUCAGAUGACAGAUAAUCCUAUGCCUACCUCUGGUCAUCAGAUGACAGAUAAUCCUAUUCAUACCUCUGGUCAUCAGAUGACAGGUAAUCCUAUCAAUGGUCAUGAGAUGCCCGGUAAUCCUAUUCCUACCUCUAGUCAUCAGAUGAUAGGUAAUCCUAUUCCUACCUCUGGUCAUCAGAUGACAAGUAAUACUAUCAAUGGACAUCAGAUGCACGGUAAUCCUAUUCCUACCUCUGGUCAUCAGAUGACGGGUAAUCUAAUCAACGGUCAUCAGAUGCCCGGUAAUCCUAUUCCGACCUUUGGUCAUCAGAUGACAGGUAAUCCUACAUAUGGUUAUCAGAUGACAAGUAAUCCUAUCAAUGGCCAUCAGACGCCGGGUACUCCUAUUCCUACCUCUAGUCAUCAAAUGACAGGUAAUCCUAUCAAUGGUCAUCAGAUGCCAGGUAAUCCUAUUCCUACCUCUGGUCAUCAGAUGACAGGUAAUCCUACCUAUGGUCAUCAGAUGCCAGGUAAUCCUACCUAUGGUCAUCAGAUGCCAGGUAAUCCUACCUAUGGUCAUCAGAUGACAGGUAAUCCUACCUAUGGUCAUCAGAUGCCAGGUAAUCAUAACUAUGGUUAUCAGAUGCCAGGUAAUCCUAACAAUGGUUAUCAUAUGUUCGGUAAUCCUAUUCCUACCUAUUGUCAUCAGAUGACAGGCAAUCCUUCCUCUGGUCAUCAGAUGCCCGGUAAUCCUACCUAUGCUCAUCAGAUGAUAGGUAAUCCUACCUAUGGUCAUCAAAUGACAGCGGGUAAUUAUACCUCUCGUCCUCAGAUGUUAGGUAAUUCUACCUACAGUCAGAUGGCAGGCAAUCCUACCUCUAGUCAGGUGAUGUCAGUUGCUUCGGUCCUUGGCGUGGUGGCGGGCAUCAAUGUUUGCGCCUCCUUAGCCAACAACGUCGUAGAGUUAACUCAUGACUUCACCGGUGGGGACUCAAAGGAAGAAGGAGAAUAA